GCUUUCGUGGGAGAGUGGUAAGCACGCUCGAUGCAUAAUCGAGAGGUCCGGGGUUCGAUUCCCGGCGAAGGCG
rnacentral:tRNA from 1 species